UACGUAGGGGGCGAGCGUUGUCCGGAUUUAUUGGGCGUAAAGAGCGUGUAGGCGGUUCGGUAAGUCUGUCGUGAAAUCCUGAGGCUCAACUCCGGGCGUGCGAUGGAUACUGCCGGGCUAGAGGAUGGUAGAGGCGAGUGGAAUUCCCGGUGUAGCGGUGAAAUGCGUAGAUAUCGGAGGAACACCAGUGGCGAAGGCGACUACCUGCCUGGUUCUUGACGCUGAGGCGGCGAAAGCUAGGGGAGCAACGGGGAUUAAGAUACCCCUGAGUCCGAGAAC
rnacentral:rRNA from 1 species